rnacentral:rRNA from 1 species
UACGAGGGGGGCAAGCGUUGUUCGGAUUCAUUGGGCGUAAAGGGUGCGUAGGCGGCGCGGUAAGUCGGGUGUGAAAUCUUGGAGCUUAACUCCGAAACUGCAUUCGAUACUGCCGUGCUUGAGGACUGGAGAGGAGACUGGAAUUUACGGGUGUAGCGGUGAAAUGCGUAGAUAUCGUAAGGAAGACCAGUGGCGAAGGCGGGUCUCUGGACAGUUCCUGCGCUGAGGCACGAAGGCCAGGGGAGCAAACGGGAUUAG